rnacentral:rRNA from 1 species
UACGAAGGGGGCUAGCGUUGCUCGGAAUCACUGGGCGUAAAGGGUGCGUAGGCGGGUUUUUAAGUCAGGGGUGAAAUCCUGGAGCUCAACUCCAGAACUGCCUUUGAUACUGGGGAUCUUGAGUCCGGGAGAGGUGAGUGGAACUGCGAGUGUAGAGGUGAAAUUCGUAGAUAUUCGCAAGAACACCAGUGGCGAAGGCGGCUCACUGGCCCGGAACUGACGCUGAGACGCGAAAGCGUGGGGAGCAAACAGG